GUGUACUCCCAGAGACUAUAAUUGCCCUUAUCCACCAUGCCGUGGUCCCUCCUGUAAGCAUCCAAAGCUCUCCAAAACUUUCUUCCAAAAGCAUCCUCACUCUGGUGAUACGGACCCAGAUGAGACCGAAAGCUCAUCCGAAGACGAGUACAUGAAUCUCCGCUCUCCAUAAAGUUGUUUGUCUUGUUGCUUUCAAUAAAGUAGUUUGUCUUGUUGUCAUAAUGAUGUUUCGCU
rnacentral:lncRNA from 1 species